rnacentral:rRNA from 1 species
AUUGAACGCUGGCGGCAUGCUUUACACAUGCAAGUCGAACGGCAGCGCGGGCUUCGGUCUGGAGGCGAGUGGCGAACGGGUGAGUAAUGCCUCGGAACGUGCCCAGUAGUGGGGGAUAGCCCGGCGAAAGCCGCAUUAAUACCGCAUACGACCUGAGGGUGAAAGCGGGGGAUCGUAAGGCCUCGCGCUAUCGGCGGGGCCGAUGUCGGAUUAGCUAGUUGGUGGGGUAAAGGCUUACCAAGGCGACGAUCCGUAGCUGGUCUGAGAGGACGACCAGCCACACUGGGACUGAGACACGGCCCAGACUCCUACGGGAGGCAGCAGUGGGGAAUUUUGGACAAUGGGGGCAAGCCUGAUCCAGCCAUGCCGCGUGCGGGAAGAAGGCCUUCGGGUUGUAAACCGCUUUUGUUCGGGAAGAAAUCCUCUGGGCUAAUACCCCGGGGUGAUGACGGUACCGGAAGAAUAAGCACCGGCUAACUACGUG